UUCCGAAGGGCGUGCUUCAUGACGAUGUUGCGAAACGCAACGCCUUUUAGGCGGGCGGUCCGGAUGUACUGGGCGGUCAUGACUUCGGCCAUCGACGCUCGAGUCAUCCGGGCAAUAUAGCCCAUGCCGUAGAGGGCGACGGUCAGCACCGGAAGGGUGAAGUUCUGAAGGUUUGCGCUGU
rfam:Phaeobacter sp. CECT 7735 genome assembly, contig: 0002